CUGUAUUCCAAGCAUAUGUGCUGUGGGUUCAUCCAUGGCUCGAAAGACUGGGGAAAUGAUCCUCCAAAGUCAUGCUUUCACAUCCGGCUAUCUACUACAACCUAUACUAAGACCUGCCGGAAGAUGAUGGCGUAUGAACAACAUGCAUAUGAAGCUGCUUGCGCGGUGUGUAUCAUUCUUGUUCUUUUUAUGAUUUGGGGAUUUUUUUUUACUGUGAGGUACCUGUUCCACC